UGACGGAUAGUACUCUCGAACAUUUAUUAUUCGCAAAUUAUAGAUAACAAAUAUUUUAAUAUCCGUUUAUAAAAUAAAAAUAAAAUUUUAAUUUAUAUUUUUUUUAAUUAAAUUUAAUUUAAAAUAAAGUUAAUUUAUAUUUUAUUAGAUUAAAUUUGAUUAAAAUUAAAUUAUAUAUUUUUUUGUAAUUUUAUUUUAAAAAUG
rnacentral:lncRNA from 1 species